rnacentral:lncRNA from 1 species
ACGUGAUGGUCUUGCCGGUAAGAGUCUUUACGAAGAUCUGCAUCUGAUGGAACAUAUGACGACUGAAAGGUUAAACACAUGAUUUUAAAAGAAAAGGACGCGCUCAAGAUAAAUAAAAUCCACGAUUAAAGACAGAAUAAGGCGACCACAAAUCAGGAUCUAUUAACCACAAAUUGAUAGAACAAAAGUUUUAAACGGGGAACAUGCCCCUUACUUAAGUACGUUUUCAAAACAUAAUUAUAAUUCACAGAGGAUUACACAGAAAACAAGAGGUGCAACACAUGGAUCGGACAGAUCACCGUUAAGAAAUAACACACCGAAAUCUAUAAAGAAGGAAUACAUCACCUUAACAAGCAGGGGUUUCAAACCGAAAAUUAAUUUCUAGAUAAAGGUGAGCCAAGACUAAAAAGAACAUCCACCGAUGUUUGAAAGAGGUAACGAAUAUCUCAUCCAUAUCAAGAGAGAUCUGGACAGAACACGAUCAUGGACCAAAUCAACUCGAGAAAUACAUAAAACCGAAGGGGAACCGCAAUGAAUACUUCAAAUCCGGAUCUAGAAAAACCGGGAGGAGUUCUCAAAACAUAAAUUCAUAGCAUGAGAGAGCACGCGCAUCUGGACAAAGCCUGCAUAAGGACCUCGACAGACUUUCUCCUCUGCAACAGACACAGCCUUAACCAAGGGAGAUCGGCUCAAAUCCAAAGGAUGCAUCCUAACCAAAGCAAAAACCUAGGGAUGAUGCGAUAUCCGCAGAAAAAAACUCAAAAACGAAGAACAGAAAUGAUCAAUAGACCGAACAAAGUCUUAACCAUAGAAGAUCGCCUCACAUCAAAAGGAUACAUCCUUUUCAUGCGAAAAUGAACAAAGAGAUCGAACACAACCUUUAACAUAUAUGAUCGGCUCAGAUCCAAACGAGGAUAUCCUAAACUAAUAAAAACAGCCAAGGCAUGAUGCAACCGAAGAUCCGCAGAAAAAAAAACAAAACAAAAGAAGAACAAAAACGAUCAAAGAGAUCUGCUCCUUACCUUGGGAGAGACGACGCGCUUCCUCGCUUCUUUCACGGAGAGGAAAACAAAGAGGAUAUGUGCGA